UACGAAGGGUGCAAGCGUUACUCGGAAUUACUGGGCGUAAAGCGUGCGUAGGUGGUUUGUUAAGUCUGAUGUGAAAGCCCUGGGCUCAACCUGGGAACGGCAUUGGAAACUGGCUUACUAGAGUGCGGUAGAGGGGUGUGGAAUUCCCGGUGUAGCAGUGAAAUGCGUAGAUAUCGGGAGGAACAUCUGUGGCGAAGGCGACACCCUGGACCAGCACUGACACUGAGGCACGAAAGCGCGGGGAGCAAACAGG
rnacentral:rRNA from 1 species